rnacentral:rRNA from 1 species
UCGCGGCCUAUCAGCUUGUUGGCGGGGUAACGGCCCACCAAGGCGAUGACGGGUAGCUGGUCUGAGAGGAUGGCCAGCCACAUUGGGACUGAGAGACGGCCCAGACUCCUACGGGAGGCAGCAGUGGGGAAUCUUGCGCAAUGGCCGCAAGGCUGACGCAGCGACGCCGCGUGUGGGAGGACGCCCUUCGGGGUGUAAACCACUGUUGCCCGGGACGAAACCCGCUUCGAGCGGAUUGACGGUACCGGGUGAGGAAGCACCGGCUAACUCCGUGCCAGCAGCCGCGGUAAUACGGAGGGUGCGAGCGUUGUCCGGAAUCACUGGGCGUAAAGGGCGCGUAGGCGGUUGGAGAAGGCUGUGGUGAAAGUCCGGGGCUCAACCCCGGAUCGGCCGUGGCGACUCUCUGACUGGAGCACUGUAGAGGCGGGUGGAAUUCCGGGUGUAGCGGUGGAAUGCGUAGAGAUCCGGAAGAACACCGGUGGCGAAGGUGGCCCGCUGGGCAGUAGCUGACGCUGAGGCGCGACAGCGUGGGGAGCAAACAGGAUUAGAUACCCUGGUAGUCCACGCCGUAAACGAUGGGCACUAGGUGCUUGGGGGAGCGACCCUCCGAGUGCCGGCGCUAACGCAUUAAGUGCCCCGCCUGGGGAGUACGG